CUUUAUUAACAGGCAGAUAAUGGGUUUGACAAGAACAACUAACCAUCCUUAGUUACGUGAUUUUUUAAAAGCAGAUUAUUAUCAUCAAACUCUGAAGGUCAAUGUUUCAAUUAUCUGCAUUUUCUCUUGACCGUUGUCGAUGGUUAGAAUAUCUGAGAUGUCUUUUGUAUUUUUAUAUUUGGCAUUACCAUCAAUAUGAUAUUUUUUUUUCUUAAAAAUGAGUAUUCUCUACAAAUGCUUCACCAUAGUCCAGAUUAUAACGAUAGUGUAGCAUAACAACAUAACAAUGGACGAUAUCUUGGAUAAGAUUGAUUUUAAACAGGCUGUGAACACCCUAUUUAAAAUUCGUUAUAAAUUCCAAUGACUGUUUAAUAAUGUUUUUUUUAGAUAUCCGAAAGCUGCAUUUUGGCGCGACGGAAAUAUCUUUAACGAUUUUACUACAUAUGUUGCUGCUAUUUUCUUAUUAUCUGCUUUGCCAUUGCAGUACGCACGAAUAUUAUAUAAUAAAACGCAGUUGUCAUUGUCAACCGAUACAUUAUCCUUUUUAACAUAAUUCAGUUUUUGUAAAAUUAAAUUUUUCUCAGAAAAUGCUUCUUUUGUGUCGAAAUUUAGGAAAAGUACCAAAUAACAUAUUAGAAGAGGAUGCAUUUGUAUUCCAGGAACUUUAUCAUAUUUAUGACACGGACAACCAUUACUUAAAUGUUUCUUCAGCUAAAUGGGCACUGACAGAAGUUCAAAUUGAAAAACAU
rnacentral:lncRNA from 1 species